CAGUCGCCGCGGUAACACCGAGGGUGCGAGCGUUAAUCGGAUUUACUGGGCGUAAAGCGUGCGUAGGCGGCUUUUUAAGUCGGAUGUGAAAUCCCUGAUCUUAACUUAGGAAUUGCAUUCGAUACUGGGAAGCUAGAGUAUGGGAGAGGAUGGUAGAAUUCCAGGUGUAGCGGUGAAAUGCGUAGAGAUCUGGAGGAAUACCGAUGGCGAAGGCAGCCAUCUGGCCUAAUACUGACGCUGAGGUACGAAAGCAUGGGUAGCAAACAGGAUUAGAUACCCCAGUAGUCCCUGUCUCUUAUAC
rnacentral:rRNA from 1 species